rnacentral:rRNA from 1 species
CCAGACUCCUACGGGAGGCAGCAGUGAGGAAUAUUGGUCAAUGGGCGGGAGCCUGAACCAGCCAAGUCGCGUGAGGGACGACGGUCCUAUGGAUUGUAAACCUCUUUUGUCGGGGAACAAAGGCGCCCACGGGUGGGCGGAUGAGUGUACCCGAAGAAAAAGCAUCGGCUAACUCCGUGCCAGCAGCCGCGGUAAUACGGAGGAUGCGAGCGUUAUCCGGAUUUAUUGGGUUUAAAGGGUGCGUAGGCGGACAGUCAAGUCAGCGGUAAAAAUGCGGUGCUCAACGCCGUACAGCCGUUGAAACUGGCAGUCUUGAGUGGGCGAGAAGUAUGCGGAACGCGUGGUGUAGCGGUGAAAUGCUUAGAUAUCAUGAAGAACUCCGAUCGCGAAGGCAAGUGUCCGGGGUGCAACUGACGCUGAGGCUCGAAAGUGCGGGUAUCAAACAGGAUUAGAUACCCUCGUACA